CCAGCCCCAACAGCCAUUAUUUUCUAAACGUUAAGUUCUAAAGUAGAUUUUAGAAAAUACAAGAAAUACUGUUCAUCAUUUUAGCGAAUGGAAAUAAGCAUAAUUCUUGCUGCAAAGUUGUAUCUCUGCUACCAUGUGUGUGGAUCUUUUAAACAGUUUGUAGGCUUCAGCCUCAGUUUAGCUUCACAUAGGGUUCCUUAUUUAACUGGUUCUGAGAUUCUUGUCGUCUGUUCAGCUCUAUAAUUUUAGAGAGAAAGUCUUCUAAAGUGAGCAGUUUGACACUCAGGUAUCUACUUCCUUUCCCUCUCUUUAUUCUUGUCUAGUGUGUUAGAAGAAUCUAAAGUGCAGCUAAUGUUUUUGAUCAGUCAGGGUUCAACCAAAGAAACAGAACCAAUAAAAGGUAUACAUUAAUAGAUUUAUUGCAAGGGAUUAGCGUAUGCUGUUGUGAGGGCUGACUAGGCAAGUCCAAAAUCCAUAGCACAGGCAACUGGAACUCUAGAAGGCUUUUGGAAGUUUCUGUCUACAGGCAAAAUUUCUUCUUCCUCAGAGAAGCCUCUACUCUGCUCUUAAGGCCUUUCAAUGGAUUGAAUCAGGCCCACCCAGAUUAUAGAGGAUUGUGUCCUUUACUUAAAGUCAACUGAUUUUGUACUUUAAUCAUAUCUAUAAGAUACCCCACAGCAAAGUCUAAAUUAGUGUUUAAUUGAAUAAUUGGGACUAUAGCCUAACCAAGUUGACACAGAAAACUAUCACAUGUUUGUUUAAAUACUACAAGCUGAAAUUGUCUCCGUAUAAUAAAGAACAAACAGCGAGAGAGGAACAGAAGAAAGGGAGGAAGUAUGUGAGAAUUAGCUUUGAGAUUAAAAUAAAUUUCCGUAUUAAGUAUUUCCUAUUGGCUUCAUUUUAUAUAUGUACUGUUGUAUAUGGAGGCACCACCAGGCAACAAUUAGAGAAGAUUUGCAUUCUAAUAAGCUGCAUCUCAGUCUUAACAAUAUUUUUAUUUAGCAUUUUCAUUUUUCCUUUGUUCAUAAGCAACAAAGGUGAGCAAAUCAAAAGCUGCUUGCCUUAGGGAUUACCUGUGUUAAACUGGGCCAAGUCAUAAGUUAUUACAAUGAUCUUUGCUUUACCUUGAGUAAGGAAGGCUGUUCUUUGACCGUACCAAAGCUGGACUUUAGAUGUUGUUAUUUGUCUCCGUUUUUCUCUGCAAGCCUGAUAAUCACUUUCAUCAUAGAGGAGCAGAGCUGGCAUUGAGUAUAUUGCCUAUUAUGACAGGUUCUUCUUGACCAAUUCAUGUAUGACUAUCGUCUUUUUGUCUGGGCUUACUUUGCAUGCCUUCAAGCACUGACUGCAGAGAAGGGUAGGACGUGUUCACUUUCAGUACCUAACAUGAGACCUUCCAUAAGUCAAACAUGGUGGCUGGAGCUUUGGCUGCUAUCUUGGACCAUGAGGAAACCUUGAAGAUAGAAGCCAUGGCUACAAAAGACACAGUAGGAAUAUGGAAAUAGGCUAGGUCUCUGAUGACUAUGGCACCACCCUAUGAGAUCUAGACCUUCCAUCCCCAAACUUUUAUCUGAGAGAAAAGCAAAGAUCCUGUUAUUUUUAUUAUUUGCUACUAGCUGCCAAAUGUAAAUCCCAACUGAUUCAAUGGUUAAUUGUGAAUAUAAAUAAAGGUGAGGUAUUGCUUGAAUUAGUAAUAACAAUAAAACUUAUCGAA